GAGGUAGAGGUAGAGGUGAAUCUAGUAAUGCUCAGAGUCACAGAGUAUCAGAGACAGUAGACAGACCAGACACUAGAGCACCUGCCAGGGCAUAUGCUAUUCGUGCAAAGGAAGACCAGGACAAACCAGAUGUUAUAGCUGGUAAAUUUUCUAUCUUUGGCAAAUAUGUUUAUGCAUUAAUUGAUCCUGGUUCCACACAUUCAUACAUCAACAUACCCAUCAGUAAUGAGAAGGGAAUUCAAGUAGAACCUUUAGAACAUGACAUAGCAGUAACCAAUCCCUUAGGACAUCUUGUGAUUGUGAAUAGAGUUUAUAGAGAUUGUCCUAUAUGUGUGCAAGGUCACACCUGUUUUGGUGACUUGAUAGAGUUACCUUUUAGAGAGUUUGAUGUGAUUUUAGGUAUGGAUUGGUUGUCUAGACAUCAUGUCAUAGUUGACUGUAAGUUAAAGCGAGUUACACUCAAAACAUUAGAGGGUUCUGAGGUUAUAGUUAUGGGUGAGAGAUCAGAUUACCUCUCUAAUGUCAUAUCUGCCACUACAGCUAGGAGGUUGAUUAGAAAAGGCUGUACAGCCUAUCUAGCCAGUGUGAUUGAAAAUAAGAGGGAAGGUCCUAGUGUGUCAAACCUAUCCACAGUAUGUCAUUUUCCAGAUGUAUUUCCUGAAGAGUUGCCAGGGUUACCUCCAGAAAGGGAAGUGGAUUUUGCUAUAGAAGUUGUACUAGGCACUGCACCUAUUUCAAUUGCUCCUUAUAGAAUGGCUCCUACAGAAUUGAAAGAGUUAAAAGUACAAUUACAAGAGUUACUUGAAAAGGGUUUUAUUUGACCUAGUGUUUCGCCAUGGGGUGCACCAGUGUUGUUUGUGAAAAAGAAAGAUGGAUCUCUUCGAUUGUGCAUUGAUUACAGACAGUUGAAUAAGGUAACUAUAAAGAAUAAAUAUCCACUGCCCAGAAUAGAUGAUUUGUUUGAUCAGUUAAAAGGGGCCAUCAUUUUCUCUAAGAUAGAUUUGAGAUCGGGCUACCAUCAAUUGAGAGUUAAAGGGGCAGAUGUGCCUAAGACUGCAUUUAGAACACGAUAUGGACAUUAUGAGUUUCUGGUUAUGCCAUUCGGGUUAACAAAUGCACCUGCAUCAUUCAUGGAUCUGAUGAACCGUAUCUUCCAUCCAUUUUUAGACCAGUUUGUUGUAGUAUUCAUUGAUGAUAUACUGGUAUACUCUAAAACUAGAGAAGACCAUGACAGGCAUUUGAGGAUAGUGUUGCAGACUCUGAGGGAAAAGCAACUUUAUGCCAAGUUCAGUAAAUGUGAUUUUUGGCUUAAUGAAAUAACAUUUUUGGGACAUGUUGUAUCAGCAGAGGGAAUCGGGGUAGAUCCAUAGAAGAUUAAAGCUGUUCUGGAAUGGAAGCCACCAAAGAAUGUUACAGAGGUUAGGAGUUUCUUAGGUCUAGCUGGGUACUACAGACGGUUUGUGAAAGGGUUUUCACUUAUAGCAGCUCCAUUGACUAAAUUACUACAUAAGAAUGUUAAGUAUGUUUGGGAUGAUAAAUGUCAGGCAAGCUUUGACAAAUUGAAGACUAUGAUCACUGAAGCACCUGUACUUACACAACCUGUUUAUGGCAAGAAAUUUGUGAUAUAUAGUGAUGCUUCUCACAAUGGACUUGGAUGCAUUUUGAUGCAAGAAGGUAAAGUGAUUGCCUAUGCUUCUAGACAACUGAAGCCACAUGAGAAGAACUAUUCUACUCAUGAUCUAGAGUUGGCUGCCAUAGUUUUUGCACUAAAGAUAUGGAGAUAUUACUUAUAUGGUGAGAAAUGUUACAUCUGUACAGAUCAUAAAAGUCUGAAAUACUUGUCCACACAGAAAGAGCUAAACCUGAGACAGAGAAGAUGGCUAGAGUUACUAAAAGAUUAUAAUUGCAUUAUAGAUUAUCAGCCAGGCAAAGCUAAUCUGGUAGCAGAUGCACUCAAUAGGAAAUCCUGAUUUGCAUUAAGAGCAAUGAAUGCACGAUUGACUAUAGCAGAUGAUGGAGCUAUCAUAGCAGAAUUGAAAGUUAGACCCAGCUUACUACAACAAAUUAAAGAAGCACAGAAAGAAGAUACAGAGAUAGCUUUAUGGGCUAGACAAGUACAAGAGGGGAAGAAGCAAAAGCAUGCGAUAAGUGAUGAUGGUUACUUGUACUAACAGAGUAUGUGUACCUACCAUUGGAGAGCUGAAAUAGAGUAUUCUUAUAGAGGCACACAACAGUCCAUAUGUUAUGCAUCCAGGUAGCACUAAGAUGUAUCAAGAUCUGAAGAUGCACUAUUGGUGGCCAAGUAUGAAAAGAGAUAUAGUUGAAUUUGUAACAAAAUGUUUGACAUGUCAAUGGGUAAAAGUAGAACAUCAGGUUCCAUCAGGGUUAUUGCAGCCUAUGGCUAUACUAGAAAUGAAAUGGAAUAGAAUUACCAUGAAUUUUGUGAUAGGAUUGCCACUCACACCAAGGAAAAAAGAUGCCAUCUGGGUAAUAGUUGACAAGUUAACUAAAUCAGUGCAUUUCUUGCCAAUAAGAAUGGAUUAUACAUUAGAAAAGUAUGCAGAAUUGUACAUUAAUGAAAUUGUGAGACUGCAUGGUGUUCCUAUCUCUAUCAUAUCAGACAGAGAUCCAAGAUUCACAUCCAGAUUCUGGGAAAAACUACAUGAAGCUCUAGGGACAAGAUUGAAUUUUAGUAUAGCUUUUCAUCCUUAGACAGAUGGCCAAUCAGAGAGAGUGAUUCAAGUUUUGGAAGAUAUGCUCAGAAGUUGUGUAAUUGAAUUUAGAGUAAGCUGGGAAAGAUAUCUCCCACUAGUAGAAUUUGCUUAUAACAACAGUUAUCAGGCUAGUAUUAAAAUGGCUCCCUAUGAAGCAUUGUAUGGCAGGAAAUGUAGAACCCUGUUAUGCUAGACAAACCUUAGUGAAGCUAAACUUGUAGGUCCAGAGUUGGUAAGAUAGACUGAGGAGAAAGUGAAGAUUAUCAAAGAAAGAUUGAAAGCUGCAACAGAUAGGCAAAAAUCAUAUCAGAUUUGAAAAGAAAAAAUAUAGAAUUUGCUGUUGGGGAUAAAGUGUUUUUGAAAGUUUCUCCGUGGAAGAAAAUGCUAAGAUUUGGCAAGAAAGGUAAGCUAAGCCCUCGGUUUAUUGGUCCAUAUGAAAUAAUUGAACGUGUGGGUCCAGUAGCCUAUAGGCUAGCUUUACCUCCAGAGUUAGACAGAAUACACAAUAUCUUCCAUGUAUUCAUGUUAAGAAGAUACAGAUCUGACCCUUCACAUGUUAUUUCAGUAGAAACCAUUGAUGUAUAACAUGAUUUAACUUAUGAAGAAGAACCAGUGAAAAUUUUAGCAAGAGAAAUGAAAGAGUUAAGAAAAAAGAAGAUUCUAUUAGUGAAAGUGUUGUGGAGAAAUCACAAGGCAGAAGAAGCUACAUGGGAGAGUGAAGAAGUGAUGAAGCAACAAUAUCCCCAGCUAUUCACAGCCAGUAAAAUUUCGAGGUCGAAAUUUCUUAAGAGGGGAAGAGUUGUAACAUCCUCAAAACCAUAGCUAAAGCAGUGUCAUCAUUAGGUAUGAGUUAGACUAUUUCAUUACUAGAGUAAGUGGCAUUAGGGAAAGUGCUAGCUUAACUCUAAUAUGCUAAUAACUAAAUCAUAGAAAACUCAAAUAAAGAAACGGACAUAUCCAGAAAUGAAGUAGACAGUGUGAUUAGCGAGUCGGGAAUGAGUCACUUUUGGGAGGUGCUUAGGGUUUCCCGACGUGCUUGCUUGAGGUGCUUGUUUAAAUCCGUCAUGCUUACCUAAGUAAAAAGGACCUCUAAAGGCUAAAUGUAUAGUUUAGUAGGUCAAUCUAUGAAUAUUGAAAGUUUGAAAACUAAAUUGAAACAUGGUAAAGAGUUUAGUAGGUUAAAGUAUAAAUAUGGAAAAUUAAAACAUAAAAUUGAGUUUACUUCCAUGUGUCACCUAACUAAGGAAAGAAGAAAUGACCAAGCAAAUUAAAAAAGGGAUUGUCUUCUUUCUUCCUCCACCAUUGCCGUAGCUCACCCAUUGAAAAACCAAAGCUUUGUUUUGUUUUCCUCCCACCAAAGCCAAGCCAAAUCUCACUCAAUCAACUUCUUGUUUCAAUUAAUAUUCAUCCUAAGAUCAAGAGCUAAAGGAAUAGCCAUAUAUUGAAGUAAUUGAAGAAGAAAAGUUUAGGGUUCCAUAUACACCAAGCUUGAAAAUCAAAGGUAGGCUUAGAAAUGUGUAGAAAAUAACAUCUUCUCAUUUCUUCAUGCAUGAAUUUGAAUUAUAAAACUUUAAUUUAUAGUUUAUUCAAUCCUUUCCUAAGACAUAAAUUGACCUAGGUGAAGGAACAUCAAAGGGAAAGGAGAUAGCUAGAGAAUAGAAGAGGAAAAGAAAGAGGAAUUCAAGAA
rnacentral:lncRNA from 1 species